GGUGGUGUCCCCUUCCCUUCGGCGGGCGGGAGAGUUAGAUAGUUACCCAAGAAGACACCAUGAAAGAUACUGACAUCAAGAGACUUCUAUAUACCAAUCUUUUGUGCAUAUUUUCAGUUUUCCUAAGCAUUUUUAUCCCAUCCUUUUUCUUGGACAACUUCUCAAUAUUGGAAACUCACUUGGUCUGGUUGGGCACUUGCUCUGCUUUUGUGACUGGUGCCAAUCUCUUGUUAUACUUGGUAGUGAAACCGAAUGUGUCCUCUAAAAGAAGUUCAUUGUCACAUAAGGUAGCCCGAGUUGUCAGAUGCUGGCUCUACUUUCUCGCGUCUUGUUUUUUCCUUCAUAUAAUCUUUGUUCUGUAUGGAGCACCACUGAUGGAGUUGGUGCUGGAAACCUUUUUAUUUGCAGUUGUUUUGUCUACUUUUACCACAGUACCUUGUCUGUGUUUGUUAGGACCAAAUCUCAAAGCCUGGCUGAGAGUUUUCAGUAGAAAUGGGGGUGUUGCCAGACUGAGGAAGACAGUAAAGUCAAAGAGCAAGUGCUUGUCAGAGUUACAUCUGUUUGGGAGAACAGUCUUCAGAUUACUACAGUUUCUAGUUUCAUAGGAGCAUGGCUUGGAGCAUUUCCUAUUCCACUGGAUUGGGAAAGACCAUGGCAGGUGUGGCCCAUCUCCUGUACAUUCGGAGCGACCUUUGGCUACGUGGCUGGCCUGGUUAUCUCGCCACUCUGGAUAUACUGGAAUAGAAAGCAACUUACAUACAAGAACAAUUAAGAGGAGAAGGGAGAGAAGUGAUUUCUUUGUGCAGAGUCCAUAAGGGCUGUGCAGAAGUGUACAUGGUCAAAGCCGAGCCGUCCAUUGACAGCACUGUGGUUUUCUAAAUGUCAUUUCAACAUGAUGUGAUUGUAGCUUUUUAACUAUGAAACCCCUGAGAGAUUGUACCUUCUAGUUGAAAUAAAGUAUUUAUAGU
rnacentral:lncRNA from 1 species